UACGUAGGGGGCUAGCGUUGUCCGGAUUUAUUGGGCGUAAAGAGCGUGUAGGCGGCCAGGUAGGUCUGCUGUGAAAACUCGAGGCUCAACCUCGAGACGUCGGCGGAAACCAUCUGGCUAGAGUCCGGAAGAGGAGAGUGGAAUUCCUGGUGUAGCGGUGAAAUGCGCAGCUAUCAGGAAGAACACCCGUGGCGAAGGCGGCUCUCUGGGACGGUACUGACGCUGAGACGCGAAAGCGUGGGGAGCGAACAGG
rnacentral:rRNA from 1 species